rnacentral:rRNA from 1 species
GACGAACGCUGGCGGCGUGCUUAACACAUGCAAGUCGAACGGAAAGGCCCUGCUUUUGUGGGGUGCUCGAGUGGCGAAAGGAUGAGUAACACGUGAGUAACCUGCCCUUGACUUUGGGAUAACUUCAGGAAACUGGGGCUAAUACCGGAUAGGAGCUCCUGCUGCAUGGUGGGGGUUGGAAAGCUUCGGCGGUUGGGGAUGGACUCGCGGCUUAUCAGCUUGUUGGUGGGGUAGUGGCUUACCAAGGCGUUGACGGGUAGCCGGCCUGAGAGGGUGACCGGCCACAUUGGGACUGAGAUACGGCCCAGACUCCUACGGGAGGCAGCAGUGGGGAAUAUUGCACAAUGGGCGGAAGCCUGAUGCAGCAACGCCGCGUGCGGGAUGACGGCCUUCGGGUUGUAAACCGCUUUCGCCUGUGACGAAGCGUGAGUGACGGUAAUGGGUAAAGAAGCACCGGCUAACUACGUG